GACGAACGCUGGCGGCGUGCUUAACACAUGCAAGUCGAACGGAAAGGCCCUUCUUUUGUUGCGUGCUCGAGUAGCGAACGGGUGAGUAACACGUGAGUAACCUUCCCUUUACUUUUGGAUAACUUCAGGAAACUGGGGCUACUACCGGAUAUGAUCUCCUGCUGCAUGGUGUGGGUUGGAAAGUUUCGUCGGUUGGGGAUGGACUCGCGGCUUAUCAGUUUGUUGGUGGGGUAGUGGCUUACCAAGGCUUUGACGGCUAGCCGGCCUGGGGGGGUGACCGGCAAAAUGGGGACGGGGAUACGGCCAAGACUCUUAGGGGAGGAAGAAGUGGGGAAAAUUGAAAAAUGGGGGGAAGCCUAAUGCAGCAAGGCGGCGGGCGGGAUAACGGCCUUCGGGUUGUAAACGGCUUCAGCAUGUGACGAAGCGUGAGUGACGGUAAUGGGUAAAGAAGCACCGGCUAACUACGUG
rnacentral:rRNA from 1 species